rnacentral:rRNA from 1 species
ACGGUUACCUUGUUACGACUUAGCCCCAGUCACCGGUUUUACCCUAGGGCGCUCCUUGCGGCAGCGCACUUCAGGCACCCCCGGCUUCCAUGGCUUGACGGGCGGUGUGUACAAGGCCCGGGAACGUAUUCACCGCGCCGUGGCUGAUGCGCGAUUACUAGCGAAUCCAGCUUCAUGGAGUCGGGUUGCAGACUCCAAUCCGAACUGAGACAGGCUUUCGGGUUCCGCUCCCUGUCGCCAGGUGGCUUCCCGCUGUACCUGCCAUUGUAACACGUGUGUCGCCCCGGACGUAAGGGCCGUGCUGAUUUGACGUCAUCCCCGCCUUCCUCGCAGCUUGCGCCGGCAGUCUCGACAGAGUCCUCAGCCUAACCUGUUAGCAACUGUCGAUGGGGGUUGCGCUCGUUAUGGCACUUAAGCCGACACCUCACGGCACGAGCUGACGACAACCAUGCAGCACCUCGACACAGGCUCCGUAGAGCCGACCCCUUUCAGGGCCGUUCCUGUGUCGUUUGAGCCCGGGUAAGGUUCCUCGCGUAUCAUCGAAUUAAACCACAUGUUCCUCCGCUUGUGCGGGCCCCCGUCAAUUCCUUUGAGUUUCACCGUUGCCGGCGUACUCCCC